UCGAGGAUCUUCGGCAAUGAGCGCAAGCUUGACCGAGCGACACCGCGUGGAUGAUGAAGGCCUUCGGGUUGUAAAAUCCUGUCGAGGGGGAUAAAAGCGCAAGCUUGAUUGAUCCCUGGAGGAAGGGCGGGCUAAGUUCGUGCCAGCAGCCGCGGUAAGACGAACUGCCCAAACGUUGUUCGGAAUCACUGGGCUUAAAGGGCGCGUAGGCGGCGAUACAAGUCAGGGGUGAAAUCCGGCAGCUCAACUGUCGAAGUGCCUUUGAUACUGUAUCGCUCGAGGGAGGUAGGGGUCUGUGGAACUUCUGGUGGAGCGGUGAAAUGCGUUGAUAUCAGAAGGAACGCCGGUGGCGAAAGCGACGGACUGGACCUUUUCUGACGCUGAGGCGCGAAAGCUAGGGGAGCAAACGGGAUUAGAUACCCCCGUAGUCC
rnacentral:rRNA from 1 species